ensembl:snRNA U6 U6 spliceosomal RNA
GUGCUUGCUUAGGCAGCACAAAUACUAAAAUGGGAACAAUGCAGAGAAGAUUAGCGUGGCCCCUGCGCAACAAUGACGCACAAAUUCAUGAAGCGUUCCAGAACUAU